rnacentral:tRNA from 1 species
GCCUAGGUAGGUUGGUUGGUAGCACAUCUGCCUAUUAAGCACUAGGCCAUGGGUUCAAUUCCCACUUUGGGCA